GACGAACGCUGGCGGCGUGCUUAACACAUGCAAGUCGAACGAAGUGGCGCACGGGAGAGUAACGCGUAAUCAACCUGCCCUUCAGCGGGGUACAACAGUUGAAAACGACUGCUAAUACCGCAUACUGAAGGCGGGGUCUGCGUCUGAUUAGCUAGUUGGAGGGGUAACGGCCCACGAAGGCGAAGAUCAGUAGCCGGUCUGAGAGGAUGAACGGCCACAUUGGGACUGGGAAACGGCCCAGACUCCUACGGGAGGGAGCAGGUGGGAAUCUUCCGCAAUGGAGGAAAGUCUGACGGAGCAACGCCGCGUGAGUGAUGACGGCCUUCGGGUUGUAAAGCUCUGUUAAUCGGGACGCGGUACCGGAAUAGAAAGCCACGGCUAACUACGUGCCAGCAGCCGCGGUAAUUC
rnacentral:rRNA from 1 species